GAAAGGAAUGGUUCAAGGAGGCAACAGGGGGCGGCGGGGGGCUUGGGCCCUCAUCGCCCUGGCAAUGCCUCAGGCCCAGCCCUCAUCCCCAGUUCCGUCAGCGCUCUCUCAUGCCUUCAGAGAAACCAGGGCUGGGAUGGGCCACACAGCAAACCACCCCUCCCCCACUUCCCAUGCAGCUACUUGGCCCCCAGACCUUGUCCUCCCAUCAUUCUCCUCAUACUCCUUUUCGGUGACCCCCUCAUGUAGAAAGGGUUUGGCUGCAAUGCGAAGGAUCGCUCUGCAGGAUCUUUGGGGCCCCAUCUCCAGGCGAUUCCUGUGUGGCAGGUGUCUGAGGGGGCUCAGGAGCCUGGAGGUUUGGGAUCAUGAAGAGCCUCGGAUAAUGGGGUUCAGUCCUGCCACCAUGUUCACGGCUGGAAGGAAGUCCUGUAAUUGAAAAGUGAGCCUUACCUCUGAUCUCCUAGGAAGACCUGGGGACUGGAUUUCUUUGUGGGACAGUCCCCCCCCUCCCCCGUGGUUUCACAAUUCCUAUGUCAUCCUCAGUGAGCACUUUUGGCCUCUCUUUUGGGAGGACCAGGGCGGCGAGAGCUCUCAGCCUCUGCUGUCCCAGCCUGGGAAUGCCUGGGUGGGUGAGGACUCUCCUCUGCCAUUGAACUCAACCUCGGCUGUCAUCUGCCUGGCUGUCAGCACUGACCUGGGCAUCCUGCCUCUUGGUCCAGCCAGGUCCCUCACAGAGAGGGUCCACACAGAUACCAGUCAUGCACCCUCCUGGGGGCAGAGCCUUUGGAAGUCACCAUUGUAAGUUCCACCCUGUUCUCCAAAAUUUUGUAGAAGGGUUUGUCCUAAGUUUCUACAGUGGCUCCCUUGCCCCUUCCAGCCCCAGCUUCUCAAUUGCUGAAGUCUUGGCAAAUAUUUGGGAACCAUACACACACACACCAAAGAAAUGGCUUUCAAUGGCAGUCCUGGGACCUCCCCUGGGUCUAGAACCCCUGGCUGAGGGACCUGUGGUACUGGGCCAAAGUCCUGGGCUUAAGCCAAGAGGACUGGAUUGACUACCACUUCCUGCCUUGGGCAAGUUCUUUCAUUUUCCCCCUGAGCCUCUGUUUCUCCAUAUGUAAAAUGGGGCGAAUGCCAACUUAGUUUAUGUGAGGCCCCCAAGCAGCAGAGGCCAGGAAAUGUCCUCCCUUCCCUCCUCUCCCACCAUGGGGAUCCUAGGUGCUGUUUAGGUGGGCUCCAAGGGAGAGCUGUUCCUGAUCUGUCACCAUCCUUCCUGGCUGAUUCUCUGGCUUCCUGUCAAUAAAAAUAGCAACUGCUUGUGGGGAGUCUGGGAU
rnacentral:lncRNA from 1 species